GAUGAAGAACGUAGCGAAAUGCGAUAAGUAGUGUGAAUUGCAGAAUUCAGUGAAUCAUCGAAUCUUUGAACGCACAUUGCGCCCCUUGGUAUUCCAUGGGGCAUGCCUGUUCGAGCGUCAUUUGUACCUUCAAGCUCUGCUUGGUGUUGGGUGUUUGUCUCGCCUCUGCGAGUAGACUCGCCUCAAAACAAUUGGCAGCCGGCGUAUUGAUUUCGGAGCGCAGUACAUCUCGCGCUUUGCACUCAUAACGACGACGUCCAAAAGUACAUUUUUACACUCUUGACCUCGGAUCAGGUAGGGAUACCCGCUGAACUUAAGCAUAUCAAUAAGCGGAGGA
rnacentral:misc_RNA from 1 species